UACCCGCAGCACAAGUGGUGGUCAUUAUUAUUGGGCCUAAAGCGUCCGUAGCUGGCUUGUUAGAUGCCUGGGUAAAUCGAUGCGCUCAACGUAUCGAAUUCCGGGUAGACCGGCAAGCUCGAGACCGGGAGAGGUGUAGGCUACUCGAGGGGUAGGGGUAAAAUCCUGUAAUCCUUCGGGGAGGACCAGUGGCGAAGGCGCUACACUAGAACGCUCUGACAGUGAGGGACGAAGCCCUGGGGCGCAAACCGG
rnacentral:rRNA from 1 species